ACCACACCUGUUUCUUGUUUAUAUAAUUCCUUCCUGAUGUGAAGAGUAUUACUCUUUCCUUUUUUUUCUCUUUUUGCAACAGAUAGCAAUCAUUUUAAAAAAGCACCUAAGCAGUAAAAAUCUUCAGAUUAUCAUUCUAUAAUUUGCUUAUUAUUUGCUCCCUGUCUCAUCUUGGCUCUUUUUCUAAUGAGCAGGAUUCCUUCACCAUUGAUUUUAUAUUCUAAAUCUCAUGCUUCUCCUUUCUGACCAAAAAAUAUGAGAAGGAAAGAAAGACCAAACCAAGUUGUGUUGCUCUAUGCUGUUUUGAUGAUUAUAUAUACAAAAGGAACCUUGCUGCAGUGCUAGUAGAAUGAUCUUGAUCAUCUGGAAAAUUUUGGCAGGGAGGAGAGACUUCACUCUGCUUUCUGCAGGUUGCUUGAACCAGUUCUUUUCCUUACCGAUUGUAGGACGUUUUGUUCAACAGGGUCUUUAAACGCUUGCAUACUAUCUUUACUUCAUAUUUCUCAAAGCACAGAAUUCAUAUUCAUCGUUCCUGAUCAUGUUCGGUAGGAAAAAUAGUCCCAGAAUAACUCUUUACUCUCCAACCUUUAUUUUUCAGUUUUGGGAGAUUUUUUUCUCUCUCUCUCUCUUUGCCCUUCAGUUAGAUCUAGAAUCAAAAAACAGCCAUUCUCUAUAUUUAGUUCACCAGUGGUAAAAGAUGUCAGAAAUCUCAGGAGACACUUGUCUCGUAGGAAGAGACAGGUCUGUAUCAAAAGUGAAUUCUUUUUAAAAUGGGCUUUAGUUUGUGGAGAUCUCAUAAGCACAUCUCUAAUCAAAAUGGAGUAAUUGCUGCACCAAAGCAGUAUUCAUACAGAAUAUACAUUUCAGUGCAGCUGAGCUUGAGAGGGAAGAUUAAAAUGAUUUCAGGAAGGGAUAUGCAUGAUUCAACACCGAGUAAAGGAAUAAUCUUUAGAGAACACAGAAAAGUGGCUCUUCUCAGAAGUAUAAUUUCUGCUGCAUGCAAAAUGCAUUAACAUGAGAAAAGAGGGUUGUGAUAAGGUUCCAUAAUACUGAAGCUACAUUUGUUUGUUCUGAUGCUCGUUGUGUGACAUCAGUAUUUAUUGCCUUACUGAUUUGCAUUAUAUGUCAAUACACAUGCAUCAUCUCUGGGGCUUCCAUGAAUCACAUUGCUCCUUUCAUUUUUCAGGUGCCACAAUGUCAGCCGGACUUGCGCUGCCUCCAUUCAAGACUGAUAAAUUCAGCAAUGAUAGUCACCCUCCUUUUUCAGUAUAUAUGCAGAAUGUCUUUGCUAAUUAAAAAUGAUCUAGCGUUGUAAAGGUACUUACAACACUGAUGUCGUUUUCAUCCCUGUGAAAACUGCACCCCUUACAACACCCCACUGAUAGAGAAUUACUACUAUUAUUUUCAUUUUACAAAUGCAAAAUUGCAAUAGACAGAAAAAAUGACUUCUCCAAGGUUAUACAGUAAGUCUAUAGCAAAGAGAGGCAUUAUCUGAGAUUUCAAAGCUUCAGGCUAGCACUAUAACUAUUGGACCAAACACUUGUCUUCUUUUCAAGAACACACAGUAUCCUAAAUAGAGAGGUGACACAAAUCCUUAGAGGAAAGAAAAUUAAUCCUAAAGCACACAUUUCAAAUCUGUAUAUAACAUUACGCCUACCGUACAAUUUUCCCAGUACAUUUCUGAAGCUUUAAGAGUAUCAAGUAUCAGAGAAGCUUAGAUUCAGGUGCUAGUCUUUUUUUUUUUUCUCUCUCCCAAAUAAGAAAAAACCCACAGGAAGUCUCCAGCAAAUAGAGAAUUAUCUCAGUUUUCAAAGUUUCAGGCUAGCAUUACAGCUAUUGGACUAAAAAUUAAUCUCGUUUUCAAGAUCCUUCAGCAUCCUGAACAAAGAGGUGAUAAUAAGCUACUGCAAAUUUGAAAGCAAGUAGGACUGUUGUUUGAUUACUUCACUGCACAGUAAGUAGAAACAAUAAAGCAUGACAUUUUCAUAUAUUUUUAACAGUGGUUGAUCAGAGUUUAAGGUAGGUGAUACUCAAGUAGGAGAAUCAGAAUGAAGAAGGGGAAGACUCUUACAUAAUGUUUAUUUUAUUAAUUCUCUCUUUUGUUCAACUCUGUUUAAAGAGAAAACAGACUGAGCUUCAGGUUAUUCUUACUACAUAAAGGUGAUAACAGUUAUUAAAUUACAAUCCCAUUAACUUAGUAUAUUAGCCUUUUUUAAAAAAACUUCAGGAGUAUUUCAGUUUGUCAAAGUAGACUGGUUCUUAAAAAUGUGGUUGAAAUCUCUUUCUGUCAAUCUAAAAUAUAGGGAAUAAAAAAAUUUUUUCCAACAGUUUUAUAAAUGGAAAGGGAACAAAACAAGCAAGAGGCAGCAUGUGCUCUAAAGCAGGCUGGGUACCAUUUGCAAAAGUCAUGUAACACACCCUGUAACAGACCGGUUCUGUUUCUUCUUCAGUUUAGUGGGAGAACUUGGGCCUUGCUUUUAGUGGUAUUAUUGAAAUAAUGAAAGAUUGGUAAGCUGGAAACAAGAGGGUAGAUAAAAUGCACAGUUCUCUUUCAAAUUCUAGGAUGGCUGUAAUAUAAGUGGUGGAAAAAGAAGAAAUAAAAAAAGAAAAAUCAUUAUGAUACAGAUGUUUACAGAUCAAUUCCAGAGACAGUCUAGUUUUGGGCCUCCUUCUUUCUCAGAUCUUUGACAGUCACAUUUGCACAUCAAGGUCUGCUGUAAAUUAAAAGCAAAGCAUGAGGUUCAAGUUGUGACAGCCUAUCACGAAGAUUUGUGAAAACUUCUGUUACCUACAAGUACAGUGUAAAUGUUCCUCAGGAGGAGGCACUGGAUCACCUGCUGGGAAAUCGGUGAUUUUCAAAGUGGUUAGAUCUCUCAGUGCUACUCAAUGUCAUCCUGUCACCAUCCAGAGGAGAAAGCAGGCUGGCUGGUUGCUCGGCUUCAGCUCCGUGAAAUAACUGUCAGCAAGGAGGCACAGAGAAAUGAAUGUUGUACCUUUUAGACCUCCACUCGCCACAACAGAAGCUCAACUUGCUGCUUUUCCUCACUUCUCUGUCCUCUGCUGGAACCAGUCACCCGAGGAAUUGCCUGGGGACAUGACUUCCUUCUAGAGUCCUGACCAUCAGAAGGGUUGGCCAUUUGCUAAGCAGAGCCACAUGUGUUAUGAUCACAGGAAGGAUGUGGUCCACUGAAGCAGAAAUCUUAGGAUGUUCAGUCCUAUGUAGAUUUCAGAGAAGGACAGAGGUGUCGGAAGGGACAGCUGUAGCUUUAUCUAGCUCGGUCUUGGAAAACUCCAGGGAUAGGAAGCCCACAACUGCUUGGGGCAAUGUCGUCUCCACAGCUUUUUUGGGGGCUGUAUCACUCUCCUAGUAAAGAAGGUUUUCCUAAUAUCCAGCCUAAACGUUCCAAGCCAAAACUUGUGGCCAUUGUCCUUCAUUUUACCAUCUGUCACUACUAGGAUGUACUGUCUUUAUCAUCUGCAGUUUCUAUGAGUUAAAUAUUUGGGGCCAGCCCAUGCUUCCUGCAAACUUUUCCUCAUGUUUGUCAGUAGUUUCACCAGCUUCGGAUCAAGCCUACAUACAAAUUUGACUAUAUCCAUUUUGGUAAUCUGAACUCAGCAAAUCUGAAUAACAACAUUAAUGGUAAUUCAUUGAACCAUGCCUGGUUAUAAUGCUGACUUCGGUUUGCAGCAAAGGAGGAGCGCGGUGCUGGAUUCUAAAAUGAAUAUGUCAAAGCAUACAUUUUGCAGAUCAGUAGAGGAUGACUGAUCUUUUUUAUGCCUCUAAACAUAUUUAUUUUUUCACUCGUAAUAUAGAAUUCUAUGGAGAGGGUUCAAAAACAAAAAAGGUAAAUUCAUUGCUAACCAGGUAAUUCCACAAAAGUAGUAUAAUUAUAUGCUUUCAAAGCUGUGCAUUAUCAUGCCUAAAUGCCAGGACAAAGACUGCUUAAAAUGCUCUUUAUAAAGAAAUAUGGUUAUUUUCUGGCUUUAGCUGAGGGAUGGGCAAAGACACGCUUAAACACCAAAUGAUUUGAGUCUAAUGUAGCAAACCAGUUAAGUGUGACCUUAAUUCUAAUGAUGAAUUUAGUUCAUAGCAAUAUCUAAAGGAUACUUAAAUUUAGCCCUUUGAUCCAGAGCACUACUUUUUUUUUCUUUUUUUUAGUGCUUGAUAUCUAUUUGAAAGUGCUAUUCUAGUGUUAACUUUGAAUUUCUCACCUUUUCACUCACAGAUAUCCCUAUUUAUCAUUUAUCUAGUAUCUGUAGUAAUAAUAUCAGUAAUAUGAUGCUAACUUAAAAGUUGAUCAAUAUUGGACAAUCUAUUACGUACAACUGCUUUUUGAAUUAGGAUAUAGCAUCCUUAACCAGAUCACUUACAAUUUUGGUACAACUCUACAGAACUGAAGAUGGUGACAUCUUUGUAGCUGACAAUAAAAAGAGGAGGAACAAGAGUCAGCAGAGAACUAAACAGCUAGCCUAAAAGAACUGGGACUGAUGAGAUUUUAUGAACGAUACUGACAAUAUUCUUAUAUUAGUAUGAAUAUUAGGAGAAAUAAAUUUAAUACAGUUGAAUUGCAUCCAUUCAACUGAACACUGCCUCUUAUCUCCAGACUUUCUGGAACUCUGGAUCCUCAUUCAGACAAACAUGACUAUUGCUUUCAUCCUUCAAAGGUAAAUUAAUUGAAUAGCAUAUAAAUAACUUGGAGCUGUUACGGGAAGAAAUAAUAAACUUGUUUCUUGAGCAUGGAUAGGAAAACUUUUACUUCACUUUUUAUAGAAUUGUAGUAAAAAAUUUGUAAAAAAUAUUUUAUCUAAAUAAAUCGCUACUACCAUCCCUUUAUAUGACCAAGGUAGCUGUUGGCUCCUGAGCUCUUGCAAACCAUCCCAGUGGUGAUUUAUAUUUCAAGUCUGCUAGAGGCACAUAGAUUCUGAAACUUAUUGAAAUCCUUUAGGUUAAAGGGUGCUAUAUAAAUCUCGUAUGCUUUAAAAUAUUUUUCCCUGUCAAUGAAUGCACACAUAUUUUCAGACAUCAAGCAGAGAUUGCACUGGGAAUUUUGCAAUACUGAUGGGAUAUUGUCACUAGCAUCACAGCAGUUAUUGAAUAAUAUGCAUAUUAAGGAAGACAACUGAGACCAGAGGUGACCUCAAAGUGAAAUUCCAAUCAGUUCAUUGCAGCUCUUUCUGGGAACAGGAGAGAUUUCAUUAUUUUGAUCUGUACUGUCAUUUGCAAUACAAGCAUACCCUUUAGUGAACCUUUCUAAAGCUGUUUAUACUUACAGAUUAAGAUUCACAGUCUACUUUCCUUUGCAGGCCAUUUAGGGAGUAUCUGCUGCAUGUGCAAGUCUUUAUACUUUUUAUUGAACUAUAUGCUUUUCCAUUUCUUUUUUCUUUGGCUAAACUAAUCGUGUGUUGAUAGGAGCUCCUACUGCAGUAGAACAAACAGCCAUGCUCUUUGUAGAGUUCAGCCAUAGAAGGAUGAAGAGGAAAGGAAUGAUUAAAAAUGUUUUCCUAAGUAUUUUCUAGUAAUCUCUAUGCUCUAUGGAAAGAGCAUCUUGAAAACCAAAGAAACAUCCAUAUAUUCAUUCCUGUCUUUACGUUUGUGAAGUAAAUGGUAAA